UCACUCUGUUGCGCUAAUUAUCAUAACUGUUCUGGCUCUCUUACACUCUCAAGGAACCGGGAGAAAAGUAAGGUUUUUGGAGAAAGAAUCUCUUCUACUAAACCAGGGAAGGGCGAUGAUAGAAGUGAUGGAUUACUCGGAACCAAAGGCGAACACAAACCCAAGAAAUGGAUAUCUGACUAUCCCUCCUUCCCCUGCUCCUCCACAAGGUUCUGGUUAAUUUGAGGCAAAAAUAAAGAUAGUCUUUCAGUGCCUUCCAUUA